GUGAAUCAUCGAAUCUUUGAACGCAUAUGGCACCUUUUGACUUUUGUUGAAAGGUAUGCCUGUUUGAGAAUCAUAUUACAUUAUUUCUUUUUGUUCCAUUGGUGCCAUGAAUUCGUUUUAUGGCCAUCGAAGCAACAGAUUGAUACAAUUGGACCUUCAUCAUUAAUCGUCUUGAAUUCUGGAAUGACUGACUCGUUGAUAGAUAGAGGAUGGUAAUUCAUUCAAUAUGUAUGUUUUGACAUGUCAAUGUGUCACUAACAAUGAUCUCAAAUCAGCAAGCUACCGCUGAACUUAAGCAUAUCAAUAAGCGGAGG
rnacentral:rRNA from 1 species